rnacentral:rRNA from 1 species
ACCAGGAUUAGAUACCCUAUUAUAAAAAUUUAAAAUAAUUUACUAAAAAAUUAAUAGUUAAGUUCUUUAAAUUUAAAAAAUUUGGCGGUAUUUUAGUCUUAUUAGAGGAACCUGUUUUUUAAUUGAUAAUCCACGAUUAAUUUUACUUAGUUUUUAGGUUCAUAUAUCGCUGUCAUGAAUAUAUUUAAAAAUUUAUUUUCUUUAAUUAAUUUAAUAAUUUAUGUUAAGUCAAGAUGUGGUUUAUAAUUAAGAAAAUAAUGGGUUACAAUAAAUUUAAUUUUUAGCUUUAAAAUGAAAAUAUAAAUAAAAUUGGAUUUAAUAGUAAUUUUAAUUA